GUGAGGAAUAUUGCGCAAUGGAGGCAACUCUGACGCAGCCAUGCCGCGUGCAGGAAGAAGGCGCUACGCGUUGUAAACUGCUUUUAACCGGGAAGAAACCCCAGGACGUGUCCUGGGUUGACGGUACCGGAGGAAUAAGCACCGGCUAACUUCGUGCCAGCAGCCGCGGUAAUACGAAGGGGGCAAGCGUUAUCCGGAUUAAUUGGGUUUAAAGGGUGCGUAGGCGGAGCGUUAAGUCAGUGGUGAAGUCCUGCAGCUUAACUGUAGACUUGCCAUUGAUACUGGCGCUCUUGAGUGCGCUUGAAGUGGGCGGAAUGUGCCGUGUAGCGGUGAAAUGCUUAGAUAUGGCACAGAACACCAAUUGCGAAGGCAGCUCACUAAGGCGAUACUGACGCUGAGGCACGAAAGCGUGGGGAGCAAACAGGAUUAGAAACCCCUGUAGUCC
rnacentral:rRNA from 1 species